AACAGCAGUACUUUGGUUCAGUCAUCCUUAUAUAAGAGCCUUUACAACUUAGAUCAAAGUUGAUAUUCUGAUAAAGCUCUUGCCUGUUGAAGAUUAAUGUCUGCUAUUCUCAGCACAGCGGACAAGCUACAAGCACCAGUGUGAUUUAUAUCAGUGAUACCUGAAUCAGGUGAAUUUCCUGAACUACUCCUAUAGAAAUGGAAGUUCAUUUGUAUAGCUUGUAUAACUUUGUAAAAAUGUUUUUUUCUCAAAAUUUGUAACUCCCACAUACGUACAGUGCCAACAAAGCUCCGCUACUUUUCUUCUGUUUGUGGAUUACUAGUUUUUAGACAAUUACUGAAGAAUAAACUGGAAAUAAACACCCUGGGAAAUCAUACGUUAAUUUUUAUUAACAUACCACUUUUCAAUUUCUGCCCUUGUUGCAGUCGUCAGACCUCUUGGAAAAUAUUGCCUCACGUGCCUGGCCUGUUGUUACUGGCCUGCUGGAUUGCUUAGCAUCCGAACUUCAGCUUAGUGAUCUGAAUCAUACACAGCGAUUUAGCGCAGUUCAGAGGCACAUAGGCUAAAAGAUACGCAUCUCUGCUAUCACUUUCUGCUUUCACUGAACCCAUUUGGGAGUACUGUCAUCGAUUUUACUGACAUAACACCUAGUCCUAAUCUGCACAUGCAUAUACUUGAUUUAUAUAGUUUAUGUACUCCAUAGUCAGCUUUGUAGGACCAGCUGCUAAGGUUGCCAGUUUUAGAUAAAUAAUUAAUCUGUGCUUAUUUUUCAGUAGCAGCUUGUUUCUUUUUCUGCUAAAUGACAAUUUUAUACACCUACAGUCUCCUGGGAUCUAUGAAGUAUGGCCGAUGUCAUCAGCAGAAUCCUGAGCGAUCUGCGUUUCCCACUGAUCCUGGUAGAACUACUUCAAAUUUGCAUGAAGUAAAUGCAAAUGUGACUUCUGCUCCCCUGUUCUAGCUCAGAGAGCACUCUUCUUAUGCUUGGUAAGCCAUCACCUGAAGAGAAGUUGUCUGGAAACUGUUGUCUCAUCUGCUAAGGUGAUACCAGCAGAGAGAUCCUGCUGUUUGAGGUGGGGAAGGAGUGGCGCAGCAUUUCCAGGACUGAGCUUGAGACCGUUGGUUUGAUCAAAUGGCCCCCUCAGUGACUCUAAGUUAGGUCCUCUACUCCAUGCUGCUGCCUCUUGCUUGGAUGGUGCCAAAGAGCAGUGGGUGCAGUGUACGUAAAGAGGUUCCGUGAUGGCCCCUUAUGAAUACUCACAGCAAUUCAGUGCUGGCGUCUUUGCUAGGCCUUGUCAGCAUGAGUAUGUGCGAACUGUUGAGCUGUCUAACCUCUGCAGUCGUGAUGAAGCAACUGCAAAUUGCAAGAAAAAAAAAAAAAGAAAUAAACCAGAACCUCUUUAGAGUCAUUAAUAAAAUAAAGAAUUCUGUUUCUCA